rnacentral:rRNA from 1 species
CCUACGGGAGGCAGCAGUGGGGAAUAUUGCACAAUGGGGGAAACCCUGAUGCAGCAACGCCGCGUGAAGGAAGACGGUUUUCGGAUUGUAAACUUCUGUUCUUAGUGAAGAAUAAUGACGGUAGCUAAGGAGCAAGCCACGGCUAACUACGUGCCAGCAGCCGCGGUAAUACGUAGGGUGCAAGCGUUACUCGGAAUCACUGGGCGUAAAGAGCGCGUAGGCGGGAUAGCAAGUCAGAUGUGAAAUCCUAUGGCUUAACCAUAGAACUGCAUUUGAAACUGUUAUUCUAGAGUAUGGGAGAGGUAGGUGGAAUUCUUGGUGUAGGGGUAAAAUCCGUAGAGAUCAAGAGGAAUACUCAUUGCGAAGGCGACCUGCUAGAACAUAACUGACGCUGAUGCGCGAAAGCGUGGGGAGCAAACAGGAUUAGAUACCCGAGUAGUC